rnacentral:misc_RNA from 1 species
AAGUCGUAACAAGGUCUCCGUAGGUGAACCUGCGGAGGGAUCAUUACCGAGUGGAGGGCGCUUCGGCGCCCGACCUCCCAACCCUUUGAUUUGAUCAAGACCUCAUUCUGCCUCGGGGGUGACCCGGCCCUCCUCCGUGUUCGCGCACGGGGGGUGACCCGGUCCUCCCGGUGGCGCACCCUUAACCCUGCAUCAAUUGUCGUCUGAUAUUGAAGCGAAUUCAAUUAAAACUUUCAACAACGGAUCUCUUGGUUCUG